UACGAAGGGUGCAAGCGUUAAUCGGAAUUACUGGGCGUAAAGCGUGCGUAGGCGGUUUCUUAAGUCUGCUGUGAAAGCCCCGGGCUCAACCUGGGAAUGGCGGUGGAUACUGAGGAGCUGGAGUACGGUAGAGGAAGGUGGAAUUCCCGGUGUAGCGGUGAAAUGCGUAGAGAUCGGGAGGAACAUCAGUGGCGAAGGCGGGUCUCUGGGCCGAUACUGACGCUGAGGAGCGAAAGCAUGGGUAGCGAACAGG
rnacentral:rRNA from 1 species